rnacentral:sRNA from 1 species
GCCAGGUGCAGUGGUGUGUACCUGUAAUCCCAGCUAUUUGGGAGGCUGAGGUAGGAUAGUGAGUUACUUGGGCAAUGUAGCCAGACUCCUAUCUCAG